CGAACUGACACCUUGCCCUGUUCUCUCCCCACGCGAGCGGCGAGCCGCCAGGAGGCCACGGCGGUUGCCAUCGCCUGCUCGGCGAUUGGACGUGCGAACGGCGGCCCGGACGGCGCGACGAAUUCAUCCCCCGCUUACCCUCGUUCUGAUCCAGCAGCGGGCAGCAGCCAGCAGGCAUUGGUUCAGUUUCAAAGGCACAACCCACAGAUUCAGUCCAACUGAAUAAUAUAUCGCUGCAGGCAGGAGCAGAAUUUUCUUCUCGUGCUGUUAAGGAGGAUGCACUACAGUACAUACAAACAAAAGGCAUAUUUCCUUCAGGACCAGACAACACUGCCGGUGGAGUGAGUCUGAGGAGGAUACUGGAGUUCGCUCUUCAUCCCGUGCUGUAGAGGAGUGUGAGGAGGAGGAACAUGACUGGUGAUGCCUUGGAGUUCUACUACCACCUGUGUUGUAGGUGUCCUCUCUGCCUUUUUUGUGUCUCGAUGCCAAAGGGGGAGAGAGUGUAGGAUUUGCGAGUCUUGUGUCGCUUUGCUUUUGUUUGUUGGUUUGUGGUUGUGUUCGUGUGAGACCAGGAGACUAUCAUAUGGU